GGGACAAGGAGCGGUGGGGCCGGAUUUACCAUAAACUGCAAGAACUGUAAAAAUGGCGUCCUAUACUGUGCAUCGUGGCAGCUGACAAGGUAGAUAACAAAACCAUGUCACGUACCUUUUAUAUAUUAACAUAUGCAUGUCAAAGUUAGAAAUAACUGAAAACCAGUGAAUCAACCAAGUAGCAGCUAGUAAAAGUUUAGCGAGCCAGGACUCAAGCCAAGCACGGCUCGAGGCCGAGGCCGUGAUGGGAGCAGUGCCUGAUGAGGCCUCACAGAGGUUGGUUGUAUCAGCCUUUCCUUCAAUGGCAGGGGGCUGGUGUAGGUGACCUCCUGUCGGCCUCGGGGAACAGCUAAGAUCUGCUGUAAAGGAUCUGCAGAGGCAUAAACGAGAAAUGACCCAGUGUUCCCACUACCGUCAUUAUUGCAGUUGCUGGGCGGGGCAGAGAAGCCUUCACACCUGAUGUGUCCCCGUGACUACCGGGUGGUGCUGAGAGCCCAUGGCUGGGUUCUGAGCGAUCAGACGUUGAGAGCAGCGGGCCGGGCUGGGCUGGGCGGAACCAGGACCUCACGGAGGACUCAGAGCUGCCGCCACCUCGAAGGUCCCUGCCGCUCACCUGGAUUCUGAUCCUGGAGAAAUCCUCUUCCCUCACUCCACAGCUCCUCACCUCGCUCCAGCCGGAAAAUCACGUCUGCUCUGCAAUGCUGGCACCCUGUUCAUGGGAAAUGGUAUGUGGGUUUUGAGUUCUAUGCUAAUGAAAGUGCACGGCCAUCAAGUUCAGGACAGGCUACUGAGGAAUAAGAAGCUGGACACUGAAGUACAGCCCAGGUAACACCUUCAACACUGAAAUCCAGAUGAUGAGAUUAUCUUUCCAAAAUAGUGAAGCCCUCCAGUUGCUGAUGCCCGAGCCCAAGUUCAGAGACAGAAUACAGAGUCCUCUCUCUUUUCAAAAAAGGAGAAAUUAAAGGUCUCUACAGUGGGUUGAAUAUUAUUUUCAAGCAGUAGCUAACAUUAUUCUUCUGGAGCUCAUAUUUAUUUUCACUAGUCUGGUCUCAAGUCUCAGCAUAAAGAUUUUGAGGAGAAUUAUUAUGUAGAAAAAACUUUAUGCAUUCAAAAAUGUUCACCGUUACCCUGUUCCGCUCUGAGUGUUAGACUGAACAAAUGAGUAUCUACCUCCUACCAAUACACACGGACUCACCCACGGAGACCAGCUG